CUCCUUCACACAGGCUGGAGUGCAAUGCCAUGAUCUCUUCUCACUGCAGCGUCCACCUCCUGGCUUCAAGCAAUUCUUCUGCCUCAGCCUCCCCAGUAGCUGGGAUUACAGGCACGUGCCACCAUGCCUGGCUAAUUUUUUUAUAUUUUUAGUAGAGACGGGGUUUCACCAUGCUGGUCAGGCUGGUCUCAAACUCCUGACCUCAAGUGAUCCGCCCACCUCGGCCUCCCAAAGUACUAGGAUUACAGGCAUGAGCCACUGCACCCGGCCAGGCUUUCUUAUUUUUCCCAGUUUUACUGAGGUAUAAUUGGCAUACAAAAAACAAGGAAUAUAAUUAAAGUCUUCAUGUUUGGACAUAUGUAUACACUCACAUUUUGGCACCAUUGUCCAUGCUUCAAUUAUGCGUAUCCAAUUAAGACUCCAUUAAAGGCUCAAGAGGAUAGGGU
rnacentral:lncRNA from 10 species